rnacentral:tRNA from 1 species
GCCCUGGUAGCUCAAUGGAUAGAGCAGCUCCGUCCUAAGGAGAAGGUUGGUCGUUCGACUCGACUCCAGGGUACCA